CAGCCGCCGCGGUAAUACGUAGGUGGCAAGCGUUGUCCGGAAUUAUUGGGCGUAAAGCGCGCGCAGGCGGCCUAUCCAGUCUGUCUUAAAAGUUCGGGGCUCAACCCCGUGAUGGGAUGGAAACUAGUAGGCUAGAGUAUCGGAGAGGAAAGCGGAAUUCCUAGUGUAGCGGUGAAAUGCGUAGAUAUUAGGAAGAACACCAGUGGCGAAGGCGGCUUUCUGGACGAAAACUGACGCUGAGGCGCGAAAGCCAGGGGAGCGAACGGGAUUAGAUACCCGAGUAGUCCCUGUCUCUUAUACA
rnacentral:rRNA from 1 species